UUAUGGCUCAGGAUGAACGCUAGCGACAGGCUUAACACAUGCAAGUCGAGGGGCAGCAUAAAAGUAGCAAUACUUGGUGGCGACCGGCGCACGGGUGAGUAACGCGUAUGCAACCUACCUAUCAGAGGGGAAUAACCCGGCGAAAGUCGGACUAAUACCGCAUAAAACAGGGACACCGCAUGGUGAUAUUUGUUAAAGAAAUUCGCUGAUAGAUGGGCAUGCGUUCCAUUAGGUAGUUGGUGAGGUAACGGCUCACCAAGCCGACGAUGGAUAGGGGAACUGAGAGGUUGGUCCCCCACACUGGUACUGAGACACGGACCAGACUCCUACGGGAGGCAGCAGUGAGGAAUAUUGGUCAAUGGGCGAGAGCCUGAACCAGCCAAGUCGCGUGAAGGAAGAAGGAUCUAUGGUUCGUAAACUUCUUUUGCAGGGGAAUAAAGUGCAGGACGUGUCCUGUUUUGUAUGUACCCUGAGAAUAAGGAUCGGCUAACUCCGUGCCAGCCGCUGC
rnacentral:rRNA from 1 species